AUUGAACGCUGGCGGCAGGCCUAACACAUGCAAGUCGAACGAGUGGCGGACGGGUGAGUAAAGUCUGGGAAACGGCCCGAUGGAGGGGGAUAACUACUGGAAACGGUAGCUAAUACCGAAUAACAGCAGAUAUGACCAGAUGUGCUUAGCUAGUAGGUGGGGUAACUGCUCACCUAGGCGACGAUCACUAGCUGGUCUGAGAGGAUGACCAGCCACACUGGAACUGAGACACGGUCCAGACUCCUACGGGAGGCAGCAGUGGGGAAGAUUGCACAAUGGGCGCAAGCCUGAUGCAUCCAUGCCGCGUGUAUGAAGAAGGCCUUCGGGUUGUAAAGUACUUUCAGCGAGGAGGCGUUACUCGCAGAAGAAGCACCGGCUAACUCCGUGCCAGCAGCCGCGGUAAUAC
rnacentral:rRNA from 1 species